rnacentral:rRNA from 1 species
CAGUAGCCACGGUAAUACGUAGGUGGCAAGCGUUGUCCGGAAUUAUUGGGCGUAAAGGGCUCGCAGGCGGUUUCUUAAGUCUGAUGUGAAAGCCCCCGGCUCAACCGGGGAGGGUCGUUGGAAACUGGGAAACUUGAGUGCAGAAGAGGAGAGUGGAAUUCCACGUGUAGCGGUGAAAUGCGUAGAGAUGUGGAGGAACACCAGUGGCGAAGGCGACUCUCUGGUCUGUAACUGACGCUGAGGAGCGAAAGCGUGGGGAGCGAACAGGAUUAGAUACCCGGGUAGUCCCUGUCUCUUAUAA